AUGGCAGUUUCGGCGCUGGUGGCACAGACUUGGCUUGGCAUGUGGGGCAUGAGGGCCAGGCAAACCCGAGGCUUCAGCUCAGAUCAGUCCAAAAAUAUCGACAGGAGCUCAGACUCGAUCCAGAACAGGCUGAAGAGGAACGAUAUUUCUAAGUGUAAACUAGAGAACAACUGGCAGCUUUGAAAAAACACCAUGAAGAUGAGAUCGGUCAUCAUAAGAAGGAGAUCGAGCAUCUGCAGAAAGAAAUUGAGCAGCAUAAGCAGAAGAUCAAAACACUAAAACAUGAUGAUUAAGUGCACACAGUUCCUUCUAGAAUGGCACAUAUAAUUGUCCACUUCUAUGUAGACAUAGUUCUGCUUUAAUUAAUAUCUGUCUGUGUGCUACUAACAUUAUAAUAAAUUGUCAACAGUGAAAAAAA